CCAAUCGAACUCGGAGAUAGCUGGUUCUCCUCGAAAUAGCUUUAGGGCUAGCGUCGUGUUAGUAGCACAUGGGGGUAGAGCUCUGUAAAGGACUGGGGCGGGCAACUGUACCCACCCUUAACAAACUACGAAUACCAUGUGUGUAAUCACGGCAGUUAGAACAUCGGUGCUAAGAUCGGUGCUCAAAAGGGAAACAGCCCAGACCAUCAUCUAAGGUCCCUAAAUUAACGUUCAGUGGGAAACAAGGUGAGAUUUCUUAAACAGCUAGGAUGUUGGCUUAGAAGCAGCCAUUCAUUUAAAGAGUGCGUAACAGCUCACUAGUCAAGAGAUCUUGCGUGGAAAAUGUAACGGGGCUAAAACGUUAUACCGAAGAUAUGGAUUACACGCUAAGUACAAAGUUAAAGUUGUGUUACAAUCAAUUUAUGGAAAAUGAGAUUUAUGUAGGUAGCGUUUAUAAACACUAUAAAGGCAAUAAGUAUGUUGUUGUAAGUAUAGCUGUUCAUACUGAGACGCUUGAAGAGCUUGUAGUUUAUCGAGCCAUUUAUGGCGACGGAGAACUGUGGGCUAGACCUAAGAAAAUGUUUUUAGAUAAUAUUGAAAAAAGACGGAAAGAUCAUUCCAAGGUUUAAAUUGAUUAAGAAACUUUGAUUUUGUUCUUAGUGUGUAGUGGUAGAGGAGCGUUCCUAUCAGCGGUGAAGUCGAAUCGGAAGGUUCGGUGGAGCGGUAGGAAGUGAGAAUGCUGGAAUGAGUAACCAUAAGAGAGGUGAGAAUCCUCUCGGCCGUAAGAGCAAGGUUUCCUGAGCCAUGGUAAUCAUCUCAGGGUUAGUCGGGCCUAAGCCGAGGCGCAGAGCGUAGGCGAUGGACAUCAGGUUAAUAUUCCUGAACCGGUUAAGUUUUGUACACUGUUCACGGGGAAGUAAUCGAAGCGGAUUCAUGGUUUAUCCGUCCAACCGAGCGGGAACGCAAAGGGAGUGAAAGUGAUUCUUCGGAGUCGCGAUUUUGGUGAAAGCCCUGGCUAGAAAAGCAGGUGUACGCGUGGACUUAGCCGCCCGUACCGCAAACCAACACAGGUGCUCGAGUCGAGUAGACUCAGGCUUACGAGCGAACCUUCGCUAAGGAACUCGGCAAUACAGCGACCGUAACUUCGGGAUAAGGUCUGCCCCCACUUCGGUGGAUAUCAGCCGCGUUCACUCAGUGAAUAUUAGGUUAAAGAGUACAUUUUUAAUCACAAAACGAAUUUUCUGAGAUAGAGCAAACGAAUUGUUCUUUUGAACGCGAACCUCUGGCAUCUAACGAUGUGGGGGCCGCAGCAAAAGAGCCCACGGAACUGUUUAUCAAAAACACAGGUCUCUGCUAACACGAAAGUGGAUGUAUAGGGGCUGACUCCUGCCCAAUGCUGGAAGGUUAAGGGGAGCGCUUCACGGUGCGAACUGAAGCCCUAGUCAAUGGCGGCGGUAACUAUAACCGUCCUAAGGUAGCGAAAUUCCUUGUCAGGUAAGUUCUGACCCGCACGAAUGGAGUAAUCAUGUGGGCACUGUCUCAGCGAAGGACUCGGUGAAAGUGCAUUGGCGGUAAAGAUGCCGUCUGUCCGUACCAGGACGAAAAGACCCCAUGGAGCUUUACUACAGCUUUACAUUGAAUAUGGUUUCAACAUGUGUAGCAUAGGUGGGAGACUUUGAAGCAGAUACGCCAGUAUUUGUGGAGUCACCAAGUGAAAUACCACCCUUGUUGUGAUUGUGUUCUCACGCUGACCGUUAUCCGGUUAGCGGACCGUGUAUGGUGGGUAGUUUAACUGGGGCGGUUGCCUCCUAAAGAGUAGCGGAGGCGUUCAAAGGU
rnacentral:rRNA from 1 species